rnacentral:rRNA from 1 species
UGACCGCUGGCGGCGUGCCUAAUACAUGCACGUCGAGCGAACAGAUGCGGAGCUUGCUCCUCUGACGUUAGCGGCGGACGGGUGAGUAACACGUGGAUAACCUACCUAUAAGACUGGGAUAACUUCGGGAAACCGGAGCUAAUACCGGAUAAUAUAUUGAACCGCAUGGUUCAAUAGUGAAAGACGGUUUUGCUGUCACUUAUAGAUGGAUCCGCGCCGCAUUAGCUAGUUGGUAAGGUAACGGCUUACCAAGGCAACGAUGCGUAGCCGACCUGAGAGGGUGAUCGGCCACACUGGAACUGAGACACGGUCCAGACUCCUACGGGAGGCAGCAGUAGGGAAUCUUCCGCAAUGGGCGAAAGCCUGACGGAGCAACGCCGCGUGAGUGAUGAAGGUCUUCGGAUCGUAAAACUCUGUUAUUAGGGAAGAACAAAUGUGUAAGUAACUAUGCACGUCUUGACGGUACCUAAUCAGAAAGCCACGGCUAACUACGUG